rnacentral:rRNA from 1 species
GGACCCGCACAAGCAGUGGAUCAUGUGGUUUAAUUCGAAGCAACGCGAAGAACCUUACCAACCCUUGACAUACUAAUUAAGAAUCGUGGAGACACUUUUUGUCAGUUCGGCUGGAUUAGAUACAGGUGCUGCACGGCUGUCGUCAGCUCGUGUCGUGAGAUGUUGGGUUAAGUCCCGCAACGAGCGCAACCCCUGUCUUUAGUUACCAUCAUUUAGUUGGGUACUCUAGAGAGACUGCCGGUGAUAAACCGGAGGAAGGCGGGGACGACGUCAAGUCAUCAUGGCCCUUAUGGGUUGGGCUACACACGUGAUACAAUGGCAUCUACAGAGGGCCGCCACUCCGCGAGGAGGCGCUAAUCCCGAAAAGAUGUCUCAGUUCGGAUUGUUCUCUGCAACUCGAGAGCAUGAAGUUGGAAUUGCUAGUAA